rnacentral:lncRNA from 1 species
CUGUGAAUCUCACCUCCAUCAAGCCCAAACUCUCUGAAAAAUACUCCCACUGCAUUGAGUUUGUGGAACUCCAUCUUCCGCACGAUGAGUUGCCUGAACUGCCACCUCACUACCACACCACCAAUGGCCUCCCUCCCCAUCUCAUGUCCACUCUCAAAAAGGCCUUCGACAUGUCCAGCAGCAACUUCUCCAACGUCCUCCAAACCCUAAAACCAGAUUUGCUCAUUUAUGAUUUUCUCCAACCAUGGGCACCCUCUCUAGCUUUGUCGCACAAUAUUCCGGCCGUUGAGUUUUGUACCAUUAACGCUGCCACCAUUAUUUCAAUUUUCGCUAACCAUUUCAAGAAUUCCAGUCUCAAAUUUCCUUUCCCAGGAAUCCAUCUUCGGGAUUACGAGAUCAGAAUGUUCAAAAAUCAGGUGGAGUUUUCAUCAAAUGGCCUAAAGGACGGAGACCGCAUACAGCAGUGCAGUUCUAGUUCUUGCAAUAUCAUUUUGGCGAAGACAUCCAGAGAGAUUGAAGCGAAAUAUAUCGAUUAUCUCUCUGAUUUAGUCGGGAAGAAGAUUGUGCCUGUUGGUCCACUAGUUCAAGACCCACUGGACCAAAAAACCGACGAGGAGUCUCCGAUCAUCCAGUGGCUGAACAAAAGGGAGAAGUCUUCGGUUGUGUAUGUUUCCUUUGGGAGUGAGUACUUUUUGUCCAAGGAGGAAAUAGAAGAGAUAGCUCAUGGGUUAGAGCUCAGCAAAGUGAGUUUCAUUUGGGUUAUUAGAUUUCCCAAGGAAGACAAAACCACUAAAGUUGAAGAAGUAUUGCCAAAAGGGUUUGUAGAGAGGAUGGGAGAGAGGGGAAUGAUAGUGGAGGGUUGGGCACCACAAGCAAAGAUAUUGCAACACCCUAGCGUCGGUGGGUUUGUGAGCCACUGUGGAUGGAGCUCUGUGUUGGAGAGCAUCAAGUUCGGCGUUCCAAUUAUAGCCCUGCCAAUGCAACUUGACCAACCAGUAAACGCCAAACUGGUAGAGGAGGUCGGCGUGGGUGUGGAGGCUAGGAGAGCAGAAGGUGGUGGUUUGCAACGAGAAGCGAUUGCAGAGGCGAUCGGAGAUGUGGUUGUGAAGAAAAUUGGAGAGGGCGUGAGAAUGAAGGCACUGGAAGUAAGAGACAACAUGAAAGAGAUUGAGGAUGAAGAGAUAAAUGACGUGCUGGAGCAGCUGGAGCAGCUGGUGCAACUAUGUGCAUAGAGCAUAUGCGAAAUGGACACAAUAUAUAAAACAGCUUUACGUACGUAUGUAUCAGUUUAAUUUGAAGGAUUAUAUGGUACGUCUACUUCUGUUUUGGUGUUUUUUUCUUUCUUUUUUGUAAUGGAUAACCUGGAAUGCAUUCGUACAAAACGUAAUAAUUUUCCAGAUUAUGCAUUUGCUCCACGGUGUACCAAAUAUUGUGUGACGUUAUUGUUGUAAUAAAAAGAGAAUUUCCUUACAUUAUUGAGUCCUAUAAUUACAUUGGAUAUUCAUCCAUUAUAUACAAAACUAGUCUCUCCAAUAACAAACAACUAUUGAGUCCUAUAAUUACAUUGGAUAUUCAUCCAUUAUAUACAAAACUAGUCUCUCCAAUAACAAACAACUAUUGAGUACUAUAAUUACCUUGGAUAUUCAUCUAUUAUAUACAGAGCUAGUCUCUUCUAUAAUAAACAACUUGAUAGGAUAAAUAUCCUCGAAUUGAAAAACAACAACAACAACAAUAAUAAUAUAAAUAACCUGAAAACUUUUCCAUCCUCCCGUGUCCCCCACCAGGUCCUCCUUCUUUCCCAUUCUCUACCUUCUCCACCUUUAACCUCAUCUCUCCUCUCUAAGUGCUAUUUUGCCCCAUCUCUUUAAUGAUGGUGGUUGGCCACAUCUCCCCAAAGAUGGUGGUUCACUCCAAUCCUCUUUCAAUGGCGGUUGUGAGCUUGAAUUUCAUCUCAAUUGGGGAACUGGACUUUUCCUGUGUUGAUUUUCCUCUAAUUGCCCACUGUUUCUUGCCAAUAUGCACCAGAUUUUCUUUAGCCCCAAACCCACAAAUCCUUUAUUAAGGGUAAAAAUGUAAUACAGUUAGUAAUAUAGUUAGGUAGUUAGUAUUUGGUUAAAGUGGUUAGGAUUUCUAUAUAAACAGUAUGUGUAAUCUUCAUUUGAUUAGUGAAUACAAAUCCUAUUUCUCUCUAAACUCUCUCUCUCUAAUAUCUCUGUGUUCAUCCUUCUCUUCAUCCAUUGUUCUUGAUUUUCCUUUUAAUUCCCAACCAUUGCAAUGUAGUUAACAUCCUUAACCCAAACUACAAUUUCAUCCACACGCUCUCCAUCGUCCUAUGCCGUUUCCUUUUCACCCUCCACCCUGGCCCUACUGACUCUCAUUUGCUGUCAAAUUGGCUGCUUUCGGUUGAGUACUCUAACGAACUCUUGCGUCUACUACCCACCCCGAGUGCGAAUUGUCGCUCAUUCAGUUGGAGGUGUGUGAAACCAAGACAUUGGUUUCAGCGCGGAGCUCUGCCCCGCCUCCUUCUUUGGUUAUGGAUUCAUGUUGUGAUUUUCUGGCGUUAGAAUUAUUUUUUUGGCUAGUCCCCCGGGUGGUGUAUUUAGUUGUGAAGUUUGGCUACUCCAAUCGGUUUGCAGGUUGUUUGGUGGUGAUUUUGAGUUUUGGUUUUAAUAUAAUGUUGUUUGUUUGUGGUUUAAUUUUGUUUACCAUUUGGGGCUUUUGAAGAUUUGCAUAUGGUAUGAUCUAGGGAGCAGUUGUUAUUUUGUGGUGAAAUUUUGGUAGUGUGUGUGGUUAGUGGCCUCUAGGUUCCCAGCUUCUGCAGCUGGCCAUCCCUCACAUAGGCAUCUAGGAUUUUCUGUACUAGCCACUUUUGGUUCUUUAUUUGUUGAGCCACUUAUGCAUUUCCGUUAUUUACCAUUUUGUACUCACAAAGAAACUAUUACUCAUGCUUUGUUUUGCAUUAGUGGCGUUUCUUUUUAUAUGUGCUAGUCCCUUUUAGACUCGUUGUAAGCUAUUUUAUGUUCAUUUGGAUUUUGUUUAAUGAAUUACUCAACCUUUGACAAAAACAAAAUCAAAAAUAAAAAACAAUAAUAUUCUCAAACAUUUUUCCUAUAUGCAAUUUGUCAUUCCUUCUUAAUAUUAGGUAUAUAUAUUGUUAAUAAAUUUAAGGGACACUUUGGAUGCGGUCCCUAGUUAUCAAUAUUCUUUGAUUGAAACCUUGUUAGUUUUUAAUUUUUUAUUGAGGUUCCUGACAUUAAUGUAAUAAUAUAAGUUACUAUAUUUUUUUAAAUUAAAAAUUAAAAAAUGAAAUUUGUAAUUGUUUAUAUUAAUGAGAUUUUAAAUAAAACUCAUAAUUUAUGGGAUUAAAAAUAAUAAAAUAUAAAUUAUACUCUCUAUUGUAUUGUGUGUGCCACAUCCCGGCCCGGGGCGGAUCACUUCCCGGGCCCGCUCCACCACCGUAGCAUGAUAUUGUCCGCUUUGGGCUUACCAUUCCUUCACGGUUUUGUUUUUGGGAACUCACGAGCAACUUCCCAAUACGUCACCCAUCCUGGGAGUGCUCUGGCCUCAUUCUCACUUAACUUUGGAGUUCCUACGGAACCCGAAGCCAAUGAGCUCCCAAAAGGCCUCGCGCUAGGUAGGGAUGGGAAUAUACAUUUAAGGAUCACUCCCCUGGGCGAUGUGGGAUGUCAAAAUCCAUCCCUCUUAGGGGCCUGACGUCCUCGUCGGCACACUUCCGCCCAGGGAUUGGCUCUGAUAUCAAUUGUCACAUCCCGGCCCGGGGCGAAUCACUUCCCGGGCCCGCUCCACCACCGUAGCACGCUAUUGUCCGCUUUGGGCUUACCAUUCCCUCACGGUUUUGUUUUUGAAGACUCACGAGCAACUUCCCAGUGGGUCACCCAUCAUGGGAGUGCUCUGGCCUCCUUCUCGCUUAACUUCGGAGUUCCUACGGAACCCGAAGCCAAUGAGCUCCCAAAAUGCCUAGCGCUAGGUAGGGAUGGGAAUAUACAUUUAAGGAUCACUCCCCUGGGCGAUGUGGGAUGUCAGAAUCCACCCCCCUUAGGGGCCCGACGUCCUCGUCGGCACACUUCCGCCCAGGGAUUGGCUAUGAUACCAAUUUGUCACAUCCCGGCCCAGGUCCACCACAUCUUGGGCCCGCUCCACCACCGUAGCAUGAUAUUGUCCGCUUUGGGCUUACCAUUCCCUCACGGUUUUGUUUUUGGGAACUCACGAGCAACUUCCCAGUGGGUCACCCAUCCUGGGAGUGCUCUGGCCUCCUUCUCGCUUAACUUCGGAGUUUCUACGGAACCCGAAGCCAAUGAGCUCCCAAAAGGCCUCGCGCUAGGUAGGGAUAGGAAUAUAUAUUUAAGGAUCACUCCUCUGGGCGAUGUGGGAUGUCACUGUGUGUGUGUGUGUGUGUGUGUGUACAUAUAUGUAUGGGUACAUUAACCAAAAUUAACAAAAAAAGUUAUUGUACCAAAAUAUGGAUACAUUCUCAAAUCAACGAAAAAAAAUGUACCCAUAUAAGUUUAAACAUGGAUUAAAAAUUUUGAAUGGAUUUUAUAUUAAAAAAGGGUACAUUUUACAUAUAACAAAUUGAUAUAUUUGAGAAUAGGUAUAUUUAAGAUUAAAAAAAUUGAAAAAUUAUAUGAAUGGUACAUUUAAGAUUAAAAAAUUGAGAAUCUUUUUAUAUAUAUAAAAAAAAAACUAAUAGGUACAAACUUAAUUUAAUUUAAUUUUUUAUUAUUUUGGAAAUGUUUGAAUUGAAAAUUAAUUAGAAGUUUAAUAGAGGUGUGAGUAUUAAACCCUAAAUUAAUUACUAAUUUUUAUAUUAAAAAUUAUAUAAUAAACAUGUAAAUUCAUUAUCACAUUAAUGCUAGGGACUUGAAUCAAAAUUUGAGAAUUAAUAAGGUCUUAGUCAAUGAACAGUAAGAACUAGGGACCGGAUACUAAUUUUUCCUGAAUUUUCAAUUAAUUUUGUAAUGUCAUAUAUAUAAGUGUAUGAUAUCAAAUAUCAAAACUACUAAUGAAUUGUAUCUAAAACUAAGAAUGAUCGAAUUAAAAUACAAAAGUUGAUUACUAAAUACAUAAUCUAAAGUAAAAAAGCUUUUAGAAUUUUGGAAUAUUUCAGAAUUCUUUUGUCGGUACAAGUUUGCAACAUUCCAGAAAAAUAUGGGUUGAAAAUUAUUUAGAAUUUUAGAAUUUGUGUAUGCAUUAUUCCAAUUUUCAUCCAAUAUGUUUAAAAACUGUUAAUGACCGAAUUUAAAAUUCUAAACCAACUUGCACCACUUGGUGUAGACAAUUGAGUACAUAAUUUUUGGCUACUCUCUCCAUGUGUCAAUGUUGUUUACUUCAAAGUGAAUAGGUAGAUCGAGCCUCACAUGCCCAUUUUUCGUUGGAUUUAACAGUGUUUGAUAAAAGUGGAUAGUUUAGAAACAGGCAGUAUGUAAAGGCCCUCAUUUAAAUUACUUCUUAAUAGAAUGGUUAAUUUUUCUUAAUUAUUGUUUACAUGUGUAUAAUUUGUUUUACUAUUAAUUAGCUUUUAUUUUAUUAUUUAUUAUUUAGUUUAGAGUUGUGUUCUUUUAUGUGUUUAGUUAGAGUUAAAAAUAAAAGGGAAAGACAGUUGACUCAUCCCAACCCGAAUGUGUCCACUUGGACACUCAAACCGAGCAGUGUCGGCCAACACAGCUCAGUUUGGAUGUCUAAGUAGACAUUCGGGUCGGAGUGUGUCAGCAGCAAUAGUAGGCACAUGUUAUUUUUCCCCUUCUCUCCCUUUUCGCAUUCCUUUCCUUCUCGAUCUCUCUUUACUCUUUUCUUUGUUCUCACUCCGCGACGGAGAAAACAAAAAGGGCAAAGAGGCAUCUUCCUCCUAUAGCAUCUGUUUGGAUUAAAACUUGAUUUUGGCCCAAGGAUGGAGUCGGCCCAAAAGGAGGCCUGGAGGAAUAGAAGAUCAAAACCCAGCCGAAACUUGGGAAAGCAGGAAAGGGCCUUUUCUGACUUGAUACAAUUCACAAGGGCCACUUGCCUACCUACCCAAGGACCAAGUGGUGUAGACUGAUCACACUGCACAGCCCAUAAAGUACUUUAUGGUGGUAUUACAUGUAAUAAAGCUGAUGAGUCAUCACCCUCAGACCGCAUUCGAGCAAAACUGUCGCUACAGGAGCCAAACCGAGUCGUCUAUAAAAGGAGGAAGAGAAGACAGGAAUAGAGACACUUAAUCAAACAAACAAAAGCACAAACUCUGCUCAAAAAGCCAGAUUUGCCUUUCAAAACGAAGCUGUAGUCAGCCCAAGCCUUCAUCCCAUUCGGGACAAGCCUUCAUCCCCCGCGGGAUAAUCUUUUCUCCCAACCUCUGUAAUAGCUCUGCUACCUUGUUCUAACUUGUUGUAGUAUCGAUUCACCUUUUGUAUUCUCCUUUCCCUUCUCCCCCUCUAAGCUUUCAUACCUUUGACAGAACUACAAAGAUAGGGACCUGCAAGACGAUCAGCCUUAAUUGAUAAGAUCCAAGUCAUAAGCCCGCAGGCAUGUAAAUCUGAUUAGUUUAAAAGUCCUUGGCCUCAAGGCAUAAAAAAGAACUUUAUGUGGACUUAACCCAUCCACGACAAUCCUUGAUAAACGAGAAGUCCGAAGUUACUUGGGGCGCAAGUAAUCGACCUACCUUUGGUUUUAUUUCUAUUAUAUCAUGAUUAUCAUAGAACGCUUAAGGAUGGAAUGGAUUCUGAUAGGAAGCCUCAAGGCCUACACCUAAGGCCCCACAAAGGCACUUAUUUGGGUUCAUUCUAUUCUGCAGUCUAGAUGGUUUGAGUAUAAGAACGGACUCUAAUGGGAAGCCUCAAGGCCUACCCCUAAGGCCCCACAAAGGCACCUAUCUGGGUUCGCUCUACGUCUCGGACUCGGAUAAUCAGAAAUAUGAUAGUUAUAAGACUCCGAUAACCAUAAAGACCAAAUAUGAUAUGUUCGAGUACUGGUUUAGUUUGACAGGAAGCCUUAAGGCCUACACCUAAGGCCCCACAAAGGCACCUGUAAAAUCUAACACGGUUUCUCGGAUAUAUGUAUAUAUAUUCACAACGAAAGCACGACAACCAUUUUACAUCUGCCAUGCUAAAGAUGGCAGUGGCACGCCUGAGCACCUAAGUGUUAACCUUGAUUGCGAGCCUUAAGGCCUACACCUAAGGCCCCACAAAGGCACCUCUCAAAGUUAACGCUGUCCUUCUCUUUCAGCCUUGCCCUACGAGACUUGCCCGACAAAGCCCAACAGGAAAGCAGAAGCCCGACAGCAGCCCUCAACCGGCGCCAAAUCUCCCAGGGGAGCUGUGUGCUCGUUGGCCAGGAAGUCAUCCCCGACGGAAAUUCCUGCCACGAACAUAGUUUUGGCACGCCCAGUGGGACACCUAAUCAGAAGAUAGAGAAACAGAUAUGCCAGAAGACUUGCAGACCACGUUAUUUCAAAUGCUGCAACGCUUGGAGAAAAUCUCCACGGGCUCUAGAAGUGAUAUAGAGGUGGUUCCUCCCAAAGGAAAAAGACGUAGAAACAACCAGCCAGACGGGAUGGACGUAAUCAACCCUGCAUUUCCCUUUUCAGAGGCCCCUAUAAAUAUGCUCAAUAUGACAUGGGCGGAGAAAGGAAAAUGGAGGAUUACAAGGGAAGAAGAAGAAAGACUGGCCCAAAAACCUACAGAAAGAAUAAACAAACUACCCGAGUAUCCAAAGGCUACCAUAAUCAAGGGGAUGGUUAUGUGCAGUAAAUGCCAGCGUGAGUGUGAGCUCGAGAUUCCCUCUGCUGGAGUCCUCAUUGAUCACGAGUUAAUCAGGAGGAAGGAAGAAGAUGCAAGAAGAGAAGCCCGCGAAAAAAAUAAGCAGGCAACAAAGAAGGACACCUCCCGAAGCGUUUUUCAACGCUUAGGAGGUGAAUCUCAACCCAAGGCUUUGUCAGAAGUGUUUCGAAACCAUGAAGCUUCUGACGAGGCAGAAAAAAUGGAGGCCACAAUCCAAAGAGGUGCAGAUCAUCCUCAGAAUGGCCAGAUGGGGAGGGAAGUCAAGAGAACUGAUGGGAUAGCUAAUCCCGGCAGAAAAAGGAAUCAUGCCCACCUCGGGCGAAAAUGGUAUGUAGUCGGGAAGAACGGACAGCCUACCAAACCAAUGGGAGCCUCUAUGAUCAGGAGGGUUCAAAGGCAGCACAAGGCCUACAUGAAUUCCUUAAAGACCCCCACUACCUCUGAAACCUCAAAAACUCAAAAGUUGGAAAGAGCAACAUCUGGAGGUAGUAGCCAGCUCCAUUGGCGAAAUAAGAAGGAGGUAAAAAAAGCCAACAGCAAAGCAGAGGGGGUGGGGGAUCAUGUGCCGCAGAGCCAACAUCCUGGGAAGUAUAGGAUCUUAAGAAGAGCUCAAGAAGAUCUGAUCAUGGUACCAACUCCUGGAUGGAAGCCGGAGCCUAUUCACAUGGGAACUGUUGCAAGACCACUUUCUCUGCCAUUGGUGGAUCCCUUUGGUGAAGUUCCAAAACAAACGUUGUACGAGGGCAUGGAUCAACCACAACAGGAGGGGAUACCAGAACCUCUGCUUCUAGCCGAUACGAUGGCCUGGUUAGAUGAAUUCAUGGACCAAAUUGAGAGCAAGAAGGAGGAUGUACUCGAGCCCAGCAAUUUCCACAUCAACAUGGCAUAUAUAUUAUCUGCCACGUUUGGUGCCAGACCUGAUCAGCCUGCUACUAUGGAGGGUGAUUACUUAACAACGGAGCCAAUGAUGGCACAAGUCAAUGUGGAGAUAGCGGAAGAAGAAGACUCGGGCAAGGCUGAGCCCUCAGAAGCAUCCAAAUGGGGUCAUCUAAGGAUUUACACAGAUGAGAUGAUGUUCAGCCACCCGAGUAUUUCGUUGGCCAACCAUCUGAAGCCUAUAUAUGUUUCAGCUCACUUAGAAGGUGUGCCCUUCAAAAGAAUUUUAAUUGAUGGAGGAGCAGCUGUUAACGUGUUACCGGCCAAGCAGAUGAGGAAGAUGGGGAGAGGCACGGAAGAUCUUAUUCCCACGGACCUUACGGUAUCUAGCUUCUCAGGUGCUAUCACUAAGACUCAUGGGAUAUUACCUUUGGAGGUGGACUUGGGAUCCAAAAAGAUAAUGCUGGCAUUCUUUGUGGUGGACUGCACCUCCACUUACGGAGCCUUACUCGGAAGAGAUUGGAUCCAUCAAAGUCUAGCCAUACCUUCCACUCUUCAUCAACAAGUGGUUGUAUAUCAUGAGGCGGGUAUUGAAGGACCAGGCUUUUGGGAGAUAGUAGAGGUCGAAACACGGCCAUUCCUCCCUUCAGCCAAUGUUGCGGAAGCAAGUUUCUACAAUCCCAACGUAGGAAUCUUGAAAUGUUCAGGAGCUGAUAAGAACGGCCAUCCUACCAAGGUGACGGCCCAAAAGCUUUUGGAACAAGGAAUGCUCCUUACUAAGGAGGAGUGGGAUAGCCCCUGUCUCGUACCAAAGUCCUAUACCCAUCAAUGACUGAACAAAAGAAGAAAGAUCAGGUCAUGGCAGUCAGAUCCUCAGAUCCUUGGAUAUAUGGGAAGGGAAGAAGACAAGAGAGGGAGCAGGAAGAGCAAGAAUGGCAGGAAGAAGCUUCGACCAGCCAGCAUGGAAAUGGAGAGGAAUCUUGCAGUGAAGAACUGGAUAGGGCCAUUCAAAUGGCCGAAUGCAUAUAUGAUCUAGAUGGGCCAGACGACUUGCCCGAGAGCCUAGAGUUGGUCGAAUUUUUAUGUGCAGAACCUGAUAAGCCAUCACCCGAAGUUCAGGAUCCUUUGGAAGUUAUUGAUCUAGGCACGGAGGAGGAUCUAAGACCAAUACAGAUCAGUGGUUUAUUAGGGGCCGAGGAUCGGGCCAGGAUUAUUUGUCUUUUGCAAGAAUUCAAAGACUGUUUUGCUUGGCAUUAUACCGAGAUGCCAGGGUUAGAUCCAACCUUAGUGGAACAUAGAAUGCCCAUCAAGGAAGGAUAUAAACAGGUCAAGCAAGCGCCACGGAGGAUGUCAAAGGAGAUAGAAGAAAAGGUCAAAGAAGAGAUUGAGAGGCUAGUGAAAGCUGGCUUUAUCAGACCAGCCAAAUAUGUGGAGUGGUUGGCCAACAUCGUACCCGUUUUAAAAGCUGUAACAAAAGCAGUACGAUGUUGUGUUGAUUACAGAAAUAUUAAUGGCGCUACACCAAAAGAUGAGUACCCCAUGCCCAUGGCUGAUUUAUCCAUAGAUGCAGUAGCAAAGCAUAAAGUUUUAUCUUUUAUGGAUGGAAAUGCCGGAUAUAACCAGAUAAAGAUGGCUCCAGAUGAUAUUCAUAAAACAGCUUUUAGGUGUCCUGGUCAUGUGAGGGCAUAUGAGUAUCUGGUCAUGCCAUUCGGGCUCAAGAAUGCUGGUGCAACAUAUCAAAUGGCAAUGAAUGCCAUUUUUCAUGAUCUAAUUGGCCAGAGCAUGGAGGUAUAUAUCGACGACAUCGUGGUGAAAUCUAAAACAGAAGAACAACAUCUAGUAGAUCUCAGGCAAGCAUUGAUAAGGAUGCGGAUCCACAAAUUGAAGAUGAAUCCAAAGAAAUGUGCAUUUGGAGUAAGAGCGGGCAACUUCUUGGGAUUCUUGGUGCAUCAGAGAGGUGUGGAAGUGGACAAAAACAAGUCUCGGGCAAUAUUGGAGUCACCUUCACCCACCAACAAAGUGCAGCUUCAAAGGCUACUAGGCAAGAUCAACUUUUUGAGGAGAUUCAUUGCCAAUUUAGCAGGUAAAAUCCAGCCGCUGACUCCUUUACUAAGAUUGAAAGAUAAAGAGAAUUUUGAGUGGGGGCCGACCCACCAGCAGGCAUUUGACAGCAUCAAUGCCUAUCUAACUUCUCCACCAGUGUUGGUACCACCUCAAAGGGGAAAGCCUUUGAAGCUGUAUAUUUCUGCUUCGGAAAAUCAAUUGGGAGUUUGCUAGCUCAAAAUAACGAAGGUGGAAAGGAGCAGACCGUAUACUACCUCAGCAGAAUUUUGACCGAGGUAGAAACAAGAUAUUCUCCGGUGGAGAGAUUGUGUUUGGCUCUAUAUUUUACUGCCAGCAAGCUAAGACAUUAUAUGUUACCUUGUCACGUGCAUAUCAUUGCCAAAACAAAUGUGAUAAAGUACAUGUUGUCAAAGCCUAUGCUAGCAGGAAGGAUUGGGAAGUGGAUUCUAGCACUGUCAGAAUUCAGCUUUCAGUAUGUACCUCAAAGGGCAGUCAAAGGCCAGGCAAUUGCUGACUUCUUGAUCGAGCAUCAGGAACCUCAAAGUGAGGUAAUCAAUAUCCCAGGAAGUUUGGAGGUUACUAGCGUUUGGAUCCCACCAAGAAGUGAUGUUUCGGGCAAAGAAGAUUGGAUCCAGCAAGAGAUAAGAAGAGUAACGGGCCUCUGGAUUACUCCUUGGAAGCUGUAUUUCGAUGGACCCCACACUCAGAAGGCUGCAGGGGCUGGGAUUGUGAUUAUAAAUCCUCAGGGGGUUUAUCAUUAUUACUCAUUCCUGCUCGAUUACCAAGAAAAUACCAAUAAUCGGGCAGAGUAUGAGGCAUUGAUUAUUGGUCUAGAAAUCCUGUUGGAUUUGGGGGCAGCAGAAGUAGAAGUCUUUGGUGAUUCAGAGUUGGUAAUAAACCAGCUAAAUGGCGAGUUCAAGUGCAGACAUAUCACUAUGGCGGGGUACUAUAUGGUAGCAACACAAUUGUUGAGUUUCUGGGAAUCUGAGAUAUCGAUCAAUCAUAUUCCUAGGGGAUCUAACUUAGCAGCCAAUGAAAUGGCGUAACUAGCCUCAGGAGUGCCAAUACAGGAAAGAAAGUAUGGAAUAGAUGUCGAGAUCCAAACAAGAAACCUUCAUUCCAUCUUAGACAGGGGAUUUAGUUUGGAUGUAAUGAUUCUAGAAACCAAGAUGGAAGAUUGGAGGGCACCCAUCAUUCAUCAUUUGAAGGAUCCCUCUUCACCUACAAGUAAAAAGAAUAGGCAGCAAGCAACCAAAUAUGUCUUAUGGGCGAAGAACCUGCUAAGAAAGACCCCAGAUGGAUUACUGUUAAAAUGCUUAGGCCAGGAAGAAUCCAUGAGAGUGAUGGCCGAAGUGCAUGAGGGAAUAUGUGGAGCACAUCAAGCAGGGAUAAAGAUGAGAUGGCUACUCAGAAGGUACGGUUAUUUCUGGCCCGACAUGGAAAAAGACUGCAAGUCUUAUGCCCGCGGUUGUGAAGAAUGUCAGAGGCAUGGACCUCUCCAACACGUGCCUUCAGUACCUUUGAAUCCAGUGGUCAAGCCUUGGCCGUUCCGAGGAUGGGCGAUGGACUUCAUCGGGCAAAUUUAUCCAGCUUCCAGUAAAGGGCAUAUUUUAUAAUUGUAGCAACGGAUUACUUCACCAAGUGGGUGGAAGCAUCAGCAGUAAAAUCCAUAACUUCCACCAUAGUCAAGAAUUUUAUCGAGACCAAGAUCCUGCACAGAUAUGGGGUGCCCGAGACUAUAGUGACGGACCGUGGGCCAUCUUUUAUUUCAAAAGAAGUCGAGGAGUUUGCAAACAAGUACAAGAUAAAGAUGAUCCAAUCUAGUCCACACUACCCUCAGUCAAAUGGGCAGGCCGAAGCUAGCAACAAGAUCCUGGUCAACAUUAUUAAAAGAAUGGUGAUAGAUAGUCCAGAAAAGUGGCAUGAGAUGUUGGGGAAUACGUUGUGGGCAUACAGGACUUCCAAAAGAGCGGGGACAGGCACAACUCCUUAUGCCUUGACGUUCGGGCAAGAUGCAGUGCUCUCCAUGGAGAUCAACGUUAGUUCCGUAAGAAUUCAAAACCAAUUUGGGUUACAUAGUGCAUAAUAUAUCGAAGCCAUGUGUCAAGGUAUUGAAGACCUGGAUACAGCCCGAAUUGAAGCCUUGAACCAGAUUCAAGAAGGAAAGAUAGUUGUUGCCCGAGCUUAUAACAAGAAGGUGAAGGUAAAAUCUUUCAAAGAGGGAGAUUUAGUGUGGAAAACAGUCCUCCCGCUGGGAGCUCAGCUUUGGGGUUUUGGAAAGUGGAGCCUGACAUGGGAAGGUCCUUUCAUUAUUAGUCGAGUCUUGAAUAAAGGAGGAUACUACCUAGCGGACCUCGAAGGAAAUGGGCAGAAACAUCCCAUUAAUGUUAGAUUCUUAAAGAAAUAUUAUCCUACAUUAUGGGAUGUAAGGGAUUGUUACAUUGAAGAGGGGGCAGAGUGAAACGAGCUUCGGGAAUCUCAUAUGCAGUGUUUUUUGUUCAUCAAACAUUCAAAGAAGGCAGAAAGACAGAAAUUGCUAAAAUAGUAUUUAUUUCAUGUCGACAAAUUGAUGAAAUUUACAGAGUUCCAAUCCUAUGUACUACAUUUGAUUCUCCCUAGGUAUGGUGGUGUCUUCAGCUGGUUUCCCGAUGUCUUCAUGGAUGGAACCCAAUCGGAUGAUCGGGUUGUGCGGCCAACAUGGGCCUGGUAGAGGAUCCUCCGACGGGGCUGUCACCAUAUGUGAUGGUGAAGCCCAACUUAUCACCGUAACUUGCGGGAAGGCAAACCAUCAAGAGGAAGCCGCCUGACCAGGGGUGUUGGAGAUAGAGGGGCGGUCGACCAAGGGUGUUGGAGAUAGCAGUCAUCAGGUGAAACCUCAUUUUCUCGUGAAAGGGGAGUUUUAGGAAACUCCACUCAAAACCUAAGGAACCCAUUUCUCAGUUUCUAAUAGAAGACAAGAACGCUCAAGAUGGAUGGAAGUUGAAGGUCAGAGCCAAAGGGAAUUUGGUAGUUUGAUAGGAGAAGUCCCAAGCUAGAUUUUAUAGGGCUCAAAGGACGGUUCAAGGGUCGUGAGAAGAGCAAGGGGCACCGGAAGCACCAAUUCCCAAGACGGAUAUGCAUGCAUGCGGGUAUUCAAUCAAUGUCGACGCUUAGGAUUCCAACCUUCACAUUAAUUGAAGGGGGCACUGUUUUGAUUAAAACUUGAUUUUGGCCCAAGGAUGGAGUCGGCCCAAAAGGAGGCCUGGAGGAAUAGAAGAUCAAAGCCCAGCCGAAACUUAGGAAAGCAGGAAAUGGCCUUUUCUGACUUGAUACAAUUCACAAGGGCCACUUGCCUACCUACCCAAGGACCAAGUGGUGUAGACUGAUCACACUGCACAGCCCAUAAAGUACUUUAUGGUGGUAUUACAUGUAAUAAAGCUGAUGAGUCAUCACCCUCAGACCGCAUUCGGGCAAAACUGUCGCUACAGGAGCCAAACCGAGUCGUCUAUAAAAGGAGGAAGAGAAGACAGGAAUAGAGACACUCAAUCACACAAACAAAAGCACAAACUCUGCUCAAAAAGCCAGAUUUGCCGUUCAAAACGAAGCUGUAGUCAGCCCAAGCCUUCAUCCCAUUCGGGACAAGCCUUCAUCCUCCGCGGGAUAAUCUUUUCUCCCAACCUCUGUAAUAGCUCUGCUACCUUGUUCUAACUUGUUGUAGUAUCGAUUCACCUUUUGUAUUCUCCUUUCCCUUCUCCCCCUCUAAGCUUUCAGACCUUUGACAGAACUAUAAAGAUAGGGACCUGCAAAACGAUCAGCCUUAAUUGAUAAGAUCCAAGUCAUAAGCCUGCAGGCAUGUAAAUCUGAUUAGUUUAAAAGUCCUUGGCCUCAAGGCAUAAAAAAGAACUUUAUGUGGACUUAACCCAUCCACGAUAAUCCUUGAUAAACGAGAAGUCCGAAGUUACUUGGGGCGCAAGUAAUCGACCUACCUUUGGUUUUAUUUCUAUUAUAUCAUGAUUAUCAUAGAACGCUUAAGGAUGGAAUGGAUUCUGAUAGGAAGCCUCAAGGCCUACACCUAAGGCCCCACAAAGGCACUUAUUUGGGUUCAUUCUAUUCUGCGGUCUAGAUGGUUUGAGUAUAAGAACGGACUCGAAUGGGAAGCCUCAAGGCCUACACCUAAGGCCCCACAAAGGCACCUAUUUGGGUUCGCUCUACCUCUCGAACUCGGAUAAUCAGAAAUAUGAUAGUUAUAAGACUCCGAUAACCAUAAAGACCAAAUAUGAUAUGUUCGAGUACUGGUUUAGUUUGACAGGAAGCCUCAAGGCCUACACCUAAGGCCCCACAAAGGCACCUGUAAAAUCUAACAUGGUUUCUCGGAUAUAUGUAUAUAUAUUCACAACGAAAGCACGACAACCAUUUUACAUCUGCCAUGCUAAAGAUGGCAGUGGCACGCCUGAGCACCUAAGUGUUAACCUUGAUUGCGAGCCUUAAGGCCUACACCUAAGGCCCCACAAAGGCACCUCUCAAAGUUAACGAUGUCCUUCUCUUUCAGCCUUGCCUGACGAGACUUGCCCGACAAAGCCCAACAGGAAAGCAGCAGCCCUCAACCGGCGCCAAAUCUCCCAGGGGAGCUGUGUGCUCGUUGGCCAGGAAGUCAUCCCCGACGGAAAUUCCUGCCACGAACAGCAUCAUUUCUUCUUCUUCUUCUUCUUCUUAUCAGCAGUGAUUCAUCUAUCUGGGCAAUCAAUUUUAGGCUUGGUAUUGGGUGCUUUUGGCGGCAGAUGGAUAGAAGUAGAAAAUAGGAAGUUAGGUGUCUGCAAAUUAGGAAUUUAGGGUGCCGUUCAUUAGUCUAAUAUGCUGAUUAAGCUAUCCUAGUAGCCGGAGGUGGAGGAUCGAGCCUUAGGGAAUAAUCAUUAGAUUUUGUUCCCUUAUAGUUGAUGGAAACCCUAAUUUGUCAUAUUGAUAUUCCACAUAUAUAUACCAUGUACUUGUGUUGACUACAGAGACUAUUACAAAUGGUAAGAAAUUCUAUUGCUACAAUUAAGUACAAGAUUGAAGGAAUGAAUAUUAAUGCUGGACUUACUUGGUAGGAUUUAUUGUAGUUGCUGUUUUAUUCUCGUAAUCCCCCCUCAAGCGAAACGGAACAAAAUGAAGGUUGAGUUUUCCAAGUGGUCAUAGUUCAUGAUGGCGCAAGCAUGCUUUUAAUUUGUUUUUUUCUUGGCAAAAUAUAGCCGUGCUGUGCAUGUAGGGCCACACUGAGAAUUUUGGGGCCUUAGGCAAGCCUUCGAAAUGGGGUGAUAAAGUUUUUUUACCUCCGAUUUUUUGUACAUUGAUAUGCACAAAAAAGAAUUCGCUAAAUACAUUAAUAAAUUUUAUUUUUACAUUAAAUAUCUUUAAAAUUAGUAUCAAAAUAAGAUACAUAGACAAGCAUUACUUAAAUAUUACACGUGUUACGUUUUUAGAUGCAAAUGUACUAAAUAUUUGCAGUCAAUAAUUUAAGAUUUAGAGUGAUGAACAAUAAAACUUGAUGAUCAAGAGAGUAAUUAACCACCAACGCCAAUAAUUUAUCUUGUAUUAUAUCUAAAAUCAACAUCAUACUAACGAAUCAAAUAUUAAAAUAAUCUAUUGAAUAAUAAAUUAUUGAAAAGCAAAAUAUAAAUUCAAAGUUUUUAUUGCCUUAAAGUACAAUCUUCAAGACCAUAUGAUAAUUGAUUUAAACAUUUGAUAGAAAUGGAGAGAUUGGGAAGUUGAAAGAAAAAAAAAGGUCGCAAAGGGACUUGAGUUUUAUAACUUUAUAUGCAUUUAGAUAGAUGGAUUAAGAGUAAAUUUGAAAAAAAAGAAGAAAAAAAAAACUAGUGACUAAAAAGGCAACUCUAUGUUUCGAACUCAAUACCCUAAAGAAAAAGGAAGUCGAACAUUUGCACACCAACAAAUAAAUUAUGAUAUUUUUUAGUUUUUUCUCUUUAUUUAUAUGCCAUUAACAAGAUAUAUAAAUUUUUUGGAGACCCCUCCAAAGUAGAGACCCUAGGCAAACGCCUAUAUGAACUACCCUCAGAGCCGUUCCAGUGUGCAUGCCAUGACCAUGCAAUCCAUGUUGCCAAUCAGCUGAUCUCUAGAUUAGUUAGAUGAGGUCGGUGUCCGUGUGGAGACAAUAUAGAGGAUGUGAUGAAAAGCUUGAUAACGAAUGGCUGCAAAAGAGAAGAUGGACAAAAAUGGUUGGUUGUGAAAAAAGAAGAUUUGAAACAAACGUAUUGGAUCGAAGAAUACGAUUUUAUCUGCAAGAACAAUAUACCACCUACCGUACACUAAGAGACAACAUUGAAGAUUGAAUUAGAAACCAAUAUUAGUCCUGCAUGGUUGAUUAUUGUUCUAAAAAAUAUAGUGGAAAGUUGGUCUUUGAAUGAUUAAAGGUUAUCUGAUGAUUUGUACCAUUGAAAUUAUACAUGUGAUUGGGACAUGCACGUUUUUAAAUUCAUAUGAUUUCUCGAACCCAUGCAGACAGAAUAACAACUAUAUAUGAUUCUUACUAUUUCUAACUUUGUUAUACAAAAGUAAAAUUGACACACCCCGACCUAGAUCAAGGCAUGUUGGCCGUCACGUAAGGGGGACGUAGCCAUAUGCACAAUGCGGAAGCAAAUAGAGAUAUAAGGAAUUACGAAUAAACAAAAACCAAAUCGACUAGAGUACUAGAUUAGGUAAGGUGCAAGUACGAGAUUAAAUGUGAAAUACACAACCAGAGCAGUCAAACAGGACAAGUACUAAUAAUACAACACCCGAGGGUGAUCCUACAUGGUGAUGUUCUGUCAUAACCCCCGUCAGAAUCCUCGUGAUCCACCAAAGCACUUCUACCUAAAACCUGGAGGGGCGCAAAAUAGAAAGUGUGAGUGGGCAAAAACAAAGCUUUUCAAAAUCAUUUCAUUUCUCAAAAGUUCUAACCCCUCGCCGUAAAACCUGUAUAAUUUUCCCAAACAAAAAAUAGAAUAUAUAAAUAUCUCAAGGUCAUGCUCAGAAAACAAUAUUAAUAAGUAUGUCAUGCCAAAGUAUCUCAAUACAAGACUAUAGGUAAAUCAGGCAAAAUAUAAAUAUCAAAUAUCGCAUAAGUCAAAUCUCUCUAACUCAAAUUGCACUGCUGUGUAUAAAGCUCAUAACCAAUCUCAAUCAUAUCAAAUCAAAUCCUGCACAUGAGUCGGAACCACCUACAGUGGUCUAUACGACAAGCCUACGUGUAAAGUAAAUAUGCUCUAGUGCUACGAUCACGUGAAGGCUGUGCGAAUAAUCGCGGGUCACCUAUGAGUCGGAACCACCUAAAGUGGUAUGUACGACAAGCAUGUGCACCUAACUUGGAUCCAAGGUGAGCAUAUGGUGCGGGAGGUGAACAUCACGUGAAGGACUGUGCCCUAACUCUGGGUGGGAGCACUAACACCGGGGUGCAGGUUUAUGAGCUCUCAAUACAUUACAACAUAUCUCACAUAACCGAAACAAUCUCAUACCUUUGAUUUAUGAACUUACCUGGCACUUACAUGUGCGUCCGCAGCACCAAUCAUGAAUGUAUGCAACUACUAAUGCAUAAUUAAAAUAAAUAGAUACUUGCAUGGCAUUUCCAAAACAUAUAUUCAUUUAAAUUCAUUUUCUGGGAAAAAUCUCAAGUAUAUAAGUAUAUACGGAAAACCAAAAGCUCACUCACUGGUAUGUCGAAGGGUCGUAGCCCUCGAGCCUCGAUUGAUGGCGCUCAUCCUCAGGAUAGGUCUCACCUAUAUGCGAAAUAACUGAAUAAACGUUAUUUAAAGCACAUAACAAAAACUAGGUAAUAAUUUCUCAUACAAUGCUCAAAUGGGGUAUUUGAAUAUACCACCAUGGUCUACUUAACCUCAGGAACAUCCCCAUAUUUUUAGAAAAAAUUUCCGACGUCCCACAUGCCGGACAAGGCAUGGCCAGACAAGUUGCCACGCGCAGCCAACCCUAACGAAAUCCUUAACCGCCGUGAGGGAAUAUUCCGUCAAUAUCGACAUAAUAUUCUCCUUUCUUUUCCGGCGAAUCGCCGGUUGCCGUCGCCGGAAACUGGAAAUUCGAAAAACCUUAAUAUCUUCUUCAUUUCUCAACCAAAUUUCACGAAUUUUAUACCAAAAUGAAGCUUAAGACAAGUAGAACAAAUCCUUACCAGCUUUAGGACCUAAAACUCACGGGAUCUCGCUGGAAAAAUCCACGAUAACCGGCCACCUCUGCAACUCACUAUUCCCGAGCUUCCUGACGUCCAAAAUGCCUCAACUCUCUUCUCCGAGCUUUAGGGGAGUGAUCUAAGGCUUCCUAUAACCUUAAAAAUCCCUGAAAACUACACAUUUAUGUGUGCAUGAACAGUGCAUUAAAUCAGGAUUCGAGUUCUCACGAUCCCGUCGUCCUCGCGACCAACUAAGGGUACCAAUGUGUUCCUAGGCUUGCAAGGAACACAAAACCAACCUUCAAGUCUUCGAUCCGUGAAUGAAAUGGAUAUUUGAAACUUGUUUGUACGAUUUGUACGGAAAAUGGGAAGAAAAAUCGAGAGGGAGAGAGGGUCAAUGGAAUUGGAUGAAGGUGAGUGUGUGUGGGGUCCAAAUUGGGUCACCAACCAAAACAAAUAAAACUUUAAAAUUUGAUUGGGUCCAAAUAGUUAGGAAAUGAACUUAAUUGGUCCAAAACCUUAGCCCAUUUACACACACCAUCACCAAACGCUCAAGGGCAAUUUCGUCAAUUCACGCUAUCGAUCAAAAUAAUUCGGGACGGGCUGUGACAAAAAUAUCUAGUGAGGACCACCUCAUAGAGACAAUUAUCUUAACAUAUUCUUUUAGAAUAAUCCCUCAUAUAAGAAGUACAUAUAUCCCACCUACGAAUAUGUAUUUUUAUUGCAAAAAAUUUAGAAUUAAAUAUGUGUCGUGAAAUGAAGAAUAUAUAUGUCUGCAGUGGAAUAGAAAGUAAAUAAGAAAUAAUAUUUACGAAAUUCGGUAAGUGUGCUUACAUCCUCAGGGCAAUAGCAGUUGUUUCUCUCUCUCAAUAUGGCACUUGAUGUACUGUACGUAUUUCCAACACACUAAAAAAUAUUUUCUUCAAGUUUAUUUUAUUUAUUUAUUUAUUUUAAGUACAACAUUAUAUAAGCCGUGCAUUGGUCGUAGCAUUAGCAUUAGAUGAUCCCUAUUAUUUAAGAAAUUUGGAGUUAACAAAAAUAAAAAACAAAAAGGAAAAGAAAAACUAUUGUGUCCCUUCAGUUUUGAAUGGGGCAUAAUUUAUAUCAGGCCAAACAACAAAAAAGAUAGAUCCUUACGUAAGCCUUUAUCCCAACCACGCAAUCUGCAAUUACGCGUGCACUUACAUAACCCACCUAUAUCUAUAUGAAGGUUUCCAUGUGGCUGUAUUUCGAUGGCGUUUCAGUUUUAGCCGUGCAUGCCACGACUAUGCCGUGCAUCUUGCCAAUCAACUGAUCUAGACUGCUUAGAUGAGGUCGGUGUCCGUGUCACAAAAAAGAUAGAUCCUUACGUAAGCCUUUAUCCCAACCACGCAAUCUGCAAUUACGCGUGCACUUACAUAACCCACCUAUAUCUAUAUGAAGGUUUCCAUGUGGCUGUAUUUCGAUGGCGUUUCAGUUUUAGCCGUGCAUGCCACGACUAUGCCGUGCAUCUUGCCAAUCAACUGAUCUAGACUGCUUAGAUGAGGUCGGUGUCCGUGUCGAGACAAUAUAGAGGAUGUGAUGGAGAGCUAGAUGCUGAGUGGUUGCUAAGGAGAAGAGGUGCAAAAAUUGUGGUUGUGCAAAAAUAAGUUUCGAAACUAAGUCGUAAUUGGUUGAAGAAGAAUGUUCAAAAGAAUAAUUUACUCCUCACAAUUAUACUGAGACAACACUAAGACAACGUUGAAGAUUGAAUGAGAACCAAUGUUCAUCCUGUAUGGUUGAUUAUUAUUCUUAAAAGUGUUGCGGAAAGUUGGUUUUUGAAUGAUUAGGCUUAUCUAAUUCGUAUCAUUGAAACUAGAGAUUGGGACACGUACCUUCUUUUUUUUUUUUCUUUUUUUUUUUUGUAGAAACAAUAUUAUCUACAUUAAAGGAAGAGAUGAUGGGCUUAGUUUCACAAUAAGUUAGUAAUAAUGUGAUUCAAAUUCGUCUUUGAAGAAAAUCGAACCUAAAACUUCUCACUUAUAAGUGAAGAAAAAUAUCAUUAGAUCAUAAUACUAAAUGACGAAACAUGUACAUUUUUAACUGCAUGUGAUUUCUGGAGCACAUGCAGAGAGUAUUCUAAGAAUGCCACAGUAAUAACUGCAUGUGAUUCUUGCUAUUUCUAACUUUGUUAUACAAGGUUAAAGCCAGCGAAUUGAUGACAACCUCGCAGAGACAAUUACUUUAACAUCUUCGAUAUGAAUAAAUACAUAUAUCUCACCGGCAAAUAGUAUAUUUUUAUUGUAAAUAAUUUUGUAAUCAACUGUUUAAUUUAAUUUAAAUUUUUAAUUUCACCAUUACCCAAAUCAAAACGAUGAACCCAUGUACCAGCUGCCAGGACGGUAGGAUUUUAUUGUGGAGUUACUUUGUCAUUUCUGAAACUCACCCAACAUUUAUGACGUGUUUACCAAUUAGGAGUGGAAUAAAGAGAAAAUGAAUUGAAUUACUCUCUCGUAGCAUUCUGCUGUUUACUAACAAUUGGAGAAUCAGAUUUUAUGUGAGGUCCACCCAAAAUGAGAAAUUCAAUUCUGGAUAUUCCUAGAAUCCAAUUUCCAAGAAAUAGAUGGUAAUUGAAUUCCGGAAGAAAGGGGCCAUCAUCAUCAAAAUUUUCUUCCCAAACUGCCCUUGUACUUCUUUUGAUAUCCCAAAAUACCCCUGCAUCUUCGUUCCCAACGCUGUACCUCACCGUUACACUCUACCAUUUGGAACGGGAUGAAGAAGCUGAACAGCUUGCCCAUGAGGCAUUGCCCAUUCGUGAAAAAGCAUUUGGAAAGGACUCCUUUCCCAUUGGUAUGUUGUCGUUUUCUUUAACCGCAAUCCGCAAAGGUGGGGUGGAUCUGUAGCAGAGAAAAAAGGGGUAAAAAUAUCAAGGCUGGGAUAUGGAGGGAGGGAGCAUGAAAGGCUCUUCGCAAAGGUGGGGUGGAUCUGCAGUAGAGAAAAAGGGGGAAAUUUUAGAAUGGGGUGGGCGGGCAAUAGGUAGGCAGCUAAGAAAGAUGGGAUAAAUUUUAGAAAGGGGGUGGGUCAGCAGAAAGAUGGGGAAGAGAGGGAGAGAGAGAGAGGGUCACACAAAAAAAAAAGAAAAAAAAAAGGAAAAUGAAGAAUAAAGAACUUUACUAAAAAAAAGAAAUUUGUUCUCUCUACUAAAAAUAAAAAUAAAAUGAUGGGUUUUGGCCCUUUUUCAUCAAAAUAAAAAAAUAAAAAAUUGAAAGAUUAAAAGUUUUAUUAAAAAUAAUUACAUAUAAAAUAGAUUUCAUUCCGAUUCAUAAGAAUUAGUAAACAGUUUAUAUAGAUCAAUGUCUUUCUUAUUCCGAUUUCAUACAAUUUUCGUAAACAACUCUAAGAGGAAUCUGAUUCUAGUUCUAUCUCAUUCCAAUUCAUUCUCAAUCCAAUUCAUCCUCAAUUAUAUUUCUCUCAAUUUGAUUACGGAUUAGAAAAUGCGCCAUUUGUUAAUUAAGUAAUCCUCAAGGCCAACAAAUAAAAAAGAAGUUUGACUAAACUUCUGUUCUUUGAUGUGUCUUUGUCGUAUGCAUCUUCAGCUUACACGAAACAUCUACAGUUUCUAAACUCUAGCAAUUUUUUCAAAAUUCUUGUAAUCUUGGCUCCUCUCGAUCACACUGUCCCCUAUAUAUGUGUCUCCCCGUGACAUCAAAAUAUAUAAUCAUCAGAACACUUCUGUUAGUCGAAAGAAUAACCACAAAAGAAGAGUCAAAUUUAGAAAGAAAAUGGUUUAUUCUCAGCAGCACAGAAGCAUUAGUAUUCUUAUGCUUCCAUGGCUAGCCCACGGCCACAUUUCUCCCUUCCUCGAGCUAGCCAAGAAACUCACCCAUAAGAGAAACAAUCUCCACUUCUACAUUUGUUCCACCCCUGUGAAUCUCACCUCCAUCAAACCCAAACUCUCUGAAAAAUACUCUCACUGCAUUGAGUUUGUGGAGCUCCAUCUUCCGCACGAUGAGUUUCCUGAACUGCCUCCUCACUACCAUACCACCAAUGGCCUCCCACCCCAUCUCAUGUCCACUCUCAAAAAGGCCUUCGACAUGUCCAGCAGCAACUUCUCCAACAUCCUCCAAACCCUAAAACCAGAUUUGCUCAUUUAUGAUUUUCUCCAACCAUGGGCACCCUCUCUAGCUUUGUCGCACAAU